rnacentral:misc_RNA from 1 species
GGAAGAACAUUGCUUGGGAAAGUGACCGUGAACAUAAAUUUGGAAAGCACGUAUAUCCUUUUAACUUCCAAAAUGGAACCUUGGUUGGUGGUGGAAAUCUGGAUCCAAAUAUUCCUUUGAGUGAUCAUGAAGAUCUAAUUGUCUGGAUGCGCACUGCUGCUCUUCCAAGCUUCAGAAAGUUAUACGGUAGAAUUGAAGAAGAUUUGCAUGCUG